rnacentral:rRNA from 1 species
AGCAUAUCAAUAAGCGGAGGAAAAGAAACUAACAAGGAUUCCCCUAGUAACUGCGAGUGAAGCGGGAAAAGCUCAAAUUUAAAAUCUGGYGGUCUUUGGCCGUCCGAGUUGUAAUUUAGAGAAGCGUCUUCCGCGCCGGACCGUGCACAAGUCUCCUGGAAUGGAGCGUCAUAGAGGGUGAGAAUCCCGUCUUUGGCACGGAUGCCUGGUGCUCUGUGAUGCGCUCUCGAAGAGUCGAGUUGUUUGGGAAUGCAGCUCAAAAUGGGUGGUGAACUCCAUCUAAAGCUAAAUAUUGGCGAGAGACCGAUAGCGAACAAGUACCGUGAGGGAAAGAUGAAAAGCACUUUGGAAAGAGAGUGAAACAGUACGUGAAAUUGUUGAAAGGGAAACGCUUGAAGUCAGUCGCGUCGACCGAGACUCAGCCUUGCCUCGGCUUGGUGUACUUCUCGGCCCGACGGGUCAGCGUCAAUUUUGCCCCUCGGAUAAUGGCAAGGGAAAGGUGGCACCUUUACGGGUGUGUUAUAGUCUCCUGUCGCAUGCGAGGGUUGGGAUUGAGGAACUCAGCGCGCACCUUUGGUGUCGGGGCUUCGGCCCACGUCACGCGCUUAGGAUGCUGGCGUAAUG